UCAAAGAUUAAGCCAUGCAUGUCUCAGUCUCAACAACUUGUACGUGUGAAACUGCGAAUGGCUCAUUAAAUCAGUUAUAAUUUAUUUGAUAGUGGUCUUACUACAAGGAUAGCCGUAGUAAUUCUAGAGCUAAUACAUGCAAGAAGACCCGACUCGUGAGGGAAGGGUUGUGUUUAUUAGAUCGAAAACCAAUGCAGGGUGUUUUGGGGUGGCGCAAGUCAUUCCCGGAUGUCCGAAUAUAUGGUGAGUCAUGAUAAAUGUCGAAUCGAACUUUGUUCGAUGUGUCAUUCAAAUUUCUGCCCUAUCAACUUGUUGGUAGGAUAGAGGCCUACCAUGGUUUUGACGGGUAACGGAGGAUUAGGGUUCGAUUCCGGAGAGGGAGCCUGAGAAAUGGCUACUACUUCUAAGGAAGGCAGCAGGCGCGCAAAUUACCCAAUCCCAAUCAUAUUGGGGAGGUAGUGACAAAAAAUACCGAUGCUGGGCCUUUCAGGUUCAGUAAUUGGAAUGGUGUGGAAGCAAAUCGUCCAUAGAGCAGCCAUUAGAGGGCAAGUCUGGUGCCAGCAGCCGCGGUAAUUCCAGCUCUAAUAGUGUAUACUAAAAUUGCUGCAGUUAAAAAGCUCGUAGUUGGAUUUUGGAUGGAACAAGAUACCUUUAUGUUUUUGCUGUGCAUAUUGUUAUGUGCUUUGCCUGUUUCUUGAGGCGGUACAUGACGUAUGUAUGGUCGUAAAGGUUGUUUCGUCCCUGUCGCAAGACAUUUUUUCGAAGGUACGCAGUCCCCUUCACUGGGCUGAUUGUGUAAUUUCGGAGGGUUUACUUUGAAGAAAUUGUAGUGUUUAAAGCAGGCGUUUCGCAGCUGAACACAUUAGCAUGGAAUAAUAAAAUAGGACAUCUGAGUUGGGAACUUGCCCUUUUCUCGCCAGCAAUCUUCCAAAUGUGGCCGUGGUUAUUUUUCUGUGUUGGCCGCGAGGCUUUUCGCAGGGAGAUGGCCAUUUUGGCCACGUUUGAGAUUGUUUGGUUUUUCAAAGGGAGGGGGAGAGAGGCCCAGCUAUCGUUUUAGUAUAUCUAUUUUGUUGGUUUAUGGAGAAGGUGUAAUGAUUAAUAGGGACAGUUGGGGGCAUCCGUAUUGCAUUGUCAGAGGUGAAAUUCUUGGAUUUAUGCAAGACGAACUAGUGCGAAAGCAUUUGCCAAGGAUGUUUUCAUUAAUCAAGAACGAAAGUUAGGGGAUCGAAGGCGAUCAGAAACCGCCGUAGUCUUAACUAUAAACUAUACCAACUAGGGAUUGGAGAGUUGUCUUAAAAUGGCCUCGUCAGCACCUUUAGAGAAAUCAAAGUCUCUGGGUUCUGGGGGGAGUAUGGUCGCAAGGCUGAAACUUAAAGAAAUUGGCGGAAGGGCACCACCAGGUGUGGAGCCUGCGGCUUAAUUCGACUCAGACACGGGGAAACUCACCAGGUCCAGACACGGGAAGGAUUGACAGAUUGAUAGCUCUUUCUUGAUUCUGUGGGUGGUGGUGCAUGGUCGUUCUUAGUUGGUGGAGUGAUUUGUCUGGUUAAUUCCGAUAACGAACGAGACCUUAACCUGCUAAAUAGCUCAGUCUCAAGAGUUUCUUUUGAGACUAGUGGCGCGUCAUUCUUUGGGGUGGUGCGUUAGGAGCUUCUUAGAGGGACUACCAUGGUUGCACAUGGUGGAAGCUUGAGGCAAUAACAGGUCUGUGAUGCCCUUAGAUGUCCUGGGCCGCACGCGCGCUACAAUGAUGCAUUCAACAAGGUUGUGCUUGCCCGAAAGGGUCGGCUAAUCUUUUCAAACUGCAUCGUACUGGGGAUUGAUCUUUGUAAUUUUGGAUCAUGAACUAGGAAUACCUAGUAAGUGCAUGUCAUCAGCAUGCGCUGAUUACGUCCCUGCCCUUUGCACACACCGCCCGUCGCUCCUACCGAUUGAAUGAUCAGAUGAAAUGCCCGGAUGCGUGGCGCGCUGCCUUUCGGGGUGGUGCGCCGUGCAGAAGAGUAGUAAAUCUUAUUAUUUAGA
rnacentral:rRNA from 1 species